CCUACGGGUGGCAGCAGUGAGGAAUAUUGGUCAAUGGCCGUAAGGCUGAACCAGCCAAGUCGCGUGAAGGAAGAAGGAUCUAUGGUUUGUAAACUUCUUUUAUAGGGGAAUAAAGGUAUCUCCGUGUGGAUAUUUGCAUGUAUCCUAUGAAUAAGCAUCGGCUAACUCCGUGCCAGCAGCCGCGGUAAUACGGAGGAUGCGAGCGUUAUCCGGAUUUAUUGGGUUUAAAGGGUGCGUAGGUUGUUUUUUAAGUCAGCGGUGAAAGGUUGUGGCUCAACCAUAAAAUUGCCGUUGAAACUGGAAGACUUGAGAGUGGUUGAGGUAGGCGGAAUGCGAGGUGUAGCGGUGAAAUGCAUAGAUAUCACGCAGAACACCGAUUGCGAAGGCAGCUGACUAAGCCAUAACUGACACUGAAGCACGAAAGCGUGGGGAGCAAACAGGAUUAGAUACCCCAGUAGUC
rnacentral:rRNA from 1 species